rnacentral:rRNA from 1 species
GUGGGGAAUAUUGGACAAUGGGCGAAAGCCUGAUCCAGCCAUGCCGCGUGUGUGAAGAAGGCCUUCGGGUUGUAAAGCACUUUAAGCGAGGAGGAAGGUUCGUCACCUAAUACGUGACGGAAUUGACGUUACUCGCAGAAUAAGCACCGGCUAACUCUGUGCCAGCAGCCGCGGUAAUACAGAGGGUGCAAGCGUUAAUCGGAAUUACUGGGCGUAAAGCGCGCGUAGGCGGUUGUGUAAGUUGGAUGUGAAAUCCCCGGGCUUAACCUGGGCACUGCAUUAAAAACUGCACGGCUAGAGUAUUGGAGAGGAAGGUAGAAUUCCAGGUGUAGCGGUGAAAGGCGUAGAGAUCUGGAGGAAUACCGAUGGCGAAGGCAGCCUUCUGGCCAAAUACUGACGCUGAGGUGCGAAAGCAUGGGGAGCAAACAGGAUUAGAAACCCGAGUAGUCC